GAGUUUGAUCAUGGCUCAGGAUGAACGCUGGCGGCGUGCCUAACACAUGCAAGUCGAACGGGGUAUAUAAGCGGAAGUUUACGGAUGGAAGGUUAUAUACCCAGUGGCGGACGGGUGAGUAACGCGUGGGCAACCUGCCCCGUGCCGGGGGAUACCGCCUGGAAACAGGCGCUAAUACCGCAUAAGCGCAUACAGCCGCAUGGGUGUAUGCGGAAAGCUCCGGCGGCACGGGAUGGGCCCGCGCCCGAUUAGCCAGUUGGCGGGGUAACGGCCCACCAAAGCGACGAUCGGUAGCCGGCCUGAGAGGGCGGACGGCCACAUUGGGACUGAGACACGGCCCAAACUCCUACGGGAGGCAGCAGUGGGGAAUAUUGCACAAUGGGGGAAACCCUGAUGCAGCAACGCCGCGUGGGUGAAGGAGCGUUUCGGCGCGUAAAGCCCUGUCAGC
rnacentral:rRNA from 1 species